UAAGACGGGGGGCGCAAGCGUUGUUCGGAAUUACUGGGCGUAAAGGGCGGGCAGGCGGUCUGCUCAGUCUUCUGUGAAAAUCCGGGGCUCAACCCCGUGAAAUGCAGAAGAUACUGGCAGACUAGAGGCCGGUAGAGGCUAGCGGAAUUCCUGGUGUAGCGGUGGAAUGCGUAGAUAUCAGGAAGAACACCUGUGGCGAAGGCGGCUAGCUGGGCCGGAUCUGACGCUCAUCCGCGAAAGCGUGGGGAGCAAACAGGAUUAGAUACCCUGGUAGUCCACGCCGUAAACGAUGGGCACUAGAUGCCGGGCCUAUAGACAGGUUCGGUGUCGCAGCUAACGCAAUAAGUGCCCCGCCUGGGGAGUACGGUCGCAAGGCCG
rnacentral:rRNA from 1 species